AUAUCAAUAAGCGGAGGAAAAGAAACCAACAGGGAUUGCCCUAGUAACGGCGAGUGAAGCGGCAACAGCUCAAAUUUGAAAUCUGGCUCACGCCCGAAUUGUAAUUUGUAGAGGAUGCUUUUGGCGCGGUGCCUUCUGAGUUCCCUGGAACGGGACGCCAGAGAGGGUGAAAGCCCCGUAUAGUCGGACACCAAGCCUCUGUAAAGCUCCUUCGACGAGUCGAGUAGUUUGGGAAUGCUGCUCAAAAUGGGAGGUAAAUGCCUUCUAAAGCUAAAUACCGGCCAGAGACCGAUAGCGCACAAGUAGAGUGAUCGAAAGAUGAAAAGCACUUUGAAAAGAGGGUUAAACAGUAC
rnacentral:rRNA from 1 species